GUCGAACGAAGCACUUAGGACAGAUUACUUCGGUUUGAAGUCCUAUUUGACUGAGUGGCGGACGGGUGAGUAACGCGUGGGUAACCUGCCUCAUACAGGGGGAUAACAGUUAGAAAUGACUGCUAAUACCGCAUAAGCGCACGGUCUCGCAUGGGACAGUGUGAAAAACUCCGGUGGUAUGAGAUGGACCCGCGUCUGAUUAGCUAGUUGGUGGGGUAAGGGCUCACCAAGGCGACGAUCAGUAGCCGGCCUGAGAGGGUGAACGGCCACAUUGGGACUGAGACACGGCCCAAACUCCUACGGGAGGCAGCAGUGGGGAAUAUUGCACAAUGGGGGAAACCCUGAUGCAGCGACGCCGCGUGAAGGAAGAAGUAUUUCGGUAUGUAAACUUCUAUCAGCAGGGAAGAAAAUGACGGUACCUGACUAAGAAGCCCCGGCUAACUACGUGCCAGCAGCCGCGGUAAUACGUAGGGGGCAAGCGUUAUCCGGAUUUACUGGGUGUAAAGGGAGCGUAGGCGGUUCAGCAAGUCAGAAGUGAAAGCCCGGGGCUCAACUCCGGGACUGCUUUUGAAACUGUUGAACUAGAUUGCAGGAGAGGUAAGUGGAAUUCCUAGUGUAGCGGUGAAAUGCGUAGAUAUUAGGAGGAACACCAGUGGCGAAGGCGGCUUACUGGACGACAACUGACGCUGAGGCUCGAAAGCGUGGGGAGCAAACAGGAUUAGAUACCCUGGUAGUCCACGCCGUANACGAUGAAUACUAGGUGUCGGUGGGCAANGCCCAUCGGUGCCGCAGCAAACGCAGUAAGUAUUCCACCUGGGGAGUACGUUCGCAAGAAUGAAACUCAAAGGAAUUGA
rnacentral:rRNA from 1 species